UACGUAGGGGCCGAGCGUUGUCCGGAGUUACUGGGCGUAAAGCGCGCGCAGGCGGUCGUCUAAGCCUACCGUGAAAGCCCCCGGCUCAACCGGGGAGGGUCGGUGGGGACUGGGCGACUUGAGGACGGCAGGGGCUGGUGGAAUCCCCGGUGUAGUGGUGAAAUGCGUAGAUAUUCGCAAGAACACCAGUGGCGAAGGCGGCUCACUGGCCCGAUACCGACGCUGAGGUGCGAAAGCGUGGGGAGCAAACAGG
rnacentral:rRNA from 1 species